rnacentral:rRNA from 1 species
CGGACGGGUGAGUAACGCGUGAGGAACCUGCCUCAAAGAGGGGGACAACAGUUGGAAACGACUGCUAAUACCGCAUAAGCCCACGGGUCGGCAUCGACCAGAGGGAAAAGGAGCAAUCCGCUUUGAGAUGGCCUCGCGUCCGAUUAGCUAGUUGGUGAGGUAAUGGCCCACCAAGGCAACGAUCGGUAGCCGGACUGAGAGGUUGAACGGCCACAUUGGGACUGAGACACGGCCCAG